UCUUAUGGAUGAGAAAGAAAGUGGUUUCUUGAAAUGGAAUCUACUCCUGAUAACGAUGCUAUGAA
rnacentral:pre_miRNA from 1 species